AUAAAAUUUUCUUGAAAAAAAAAAAAAAAAAAAAAAAAAAUCUGUUCUUAUCAGUUUAAUAUCUGAUACGUCCCCUACCCGGGGACCAUAUAUUAAAUUGAUUUUUGGAACAGGGAGAAGGACCAGGGGCUUGCUCCAUCCUCUCUGCGCAUCGACCUGGUAUUGCAUUACCUCCAGGAACGGUGCUAAUCCU